CCCUAUUUUACCGUGUAUCCUCAACUGUGUAAUUAUCCCUCCACAAAAAUACAAAAAAUAACAAACCCAUAAAAAAAUUAACUACCCCAUAUCCCACCUACCCUACCCCUACCACGUCAUAGUUUUGUUCCUUUCUUUUCCAUAACAAACAAAGAAAAAUGGGGAACCACCGUAACAAAUUUAAACUCGGACCUCACCAUUGUUUACUCACAGAUAUCACACACUCAUCACACAACAUACCAUCACAUAUAUAGGCAUAUAAUAAAAAAACAAAAAAAAAGAAAAAAAGGGGCCCACAGAUUUGGAUCCAUUCUUCACAUAUAUACACCUAAUCAUCAUCUUCAUUGGGGAGGGGGUGGGGCGCAUACACCAUUUCUUUUUCUUUUUCUUUGUUCAUAAAUACACACUGCCAGAUACCCUUUCUUCCAUUUAUUUGGGUAUAGGACCAUACGCACCAUUUUAGCACACACUCAUUCACCUUCUUCUUCACGGGAAUCACACAUACCCUUGUGAGAAAUACGGGAACUAAGAAUCCAAUGAAGGGCGAGACAGAUCGGAGAAAGAGAGUGAGAAUAGAUAUAGAGAGAGAACUGGUGGUGGUAGACUAUUCCGGAGAUUCACCGUUGGAAAAAGCUUCAUCGAUGCUCGAAAUUUGAUCUGAUUUUUCUAGUUCUAUUCCUUCUGAGCUCGUCGGAGUUCGUCAGCUCCGUUCCAUUUCGGGUAAUGCUGAAACGGACGACCCAGCUCGUAAAUCCCCAAAUUUCUCCAUUUUCCGGUGGUUUCUAGGCUAACCCGGCCGGAAAACACUAAAAGUCAUCGGAAUCAACCUUUCUCGUUGAUAUUUGCGACUGUCCGAGUUCACCGGAGCUCCGGGCACGUAGUUUACUUGGUUUUCUUGUGAUCCUCAUUUUUUUGGGUUUAUUGUUCGUCGUGAUUUCGGGGAUUCGAAUUGGAUUUUGAAGACUAUGAUGUUGGAGUUUGAUCAUAGUUGGGAUUGUGGUAUUCUUUGAUGCUCCAGAACGGCUCUUAUUUCUCUUCUUGAAUCAAUCAAAAUCUUUUGAGGAAUUAUAUUUAUUCACCGGGGAAUACCCCGACGUAUGAUGUACUCGGAGGACGCCCGUGAUGAAAGCCCGAAGCAUUGGGUAAGGCAUUGGAGCGUAGUUUGGUGUAGCUUAGCGUAGGUUUACUUUUCAGUACCUUUUUCAUUUCGGGUUGUAAUAAUUGGACUGUAUACUAUAUUUUGGGAUUCAU